rnacentral:rRNA from 1 species
AGCUCCAAUAGCGUAUAUUAAAGUUGUUGCAGUUAAAAGCUCGUAGUUGGAUUUUUGAGUCAAGCUCCUGGUCCGCCGCUAUGCGGUGCCGACUGUGUGUAGCGUUGUCUCUUCCUUGUGGGAAUUCCAGUUUGGGCUUCGCUGUCCGGCUGGCGGAACCGCAUCAUUUACUGUGAAAAAUUAGAGUGUUCAAAGCAGGCUUACGCUGUGAAUACAUUAGCAUGGAAUAAUACGAUAGGACUUUGGUUCUAUUUUGUUGGUUGGAGGCCAAGGUAAUGAUUAAUAGGGAUAGUUGGGGGUAUUCAUAUUUAAUUGUCAGAGGUGAAAUUCUUGGAUUUAUGAAAGAUGAACUUAUGCGAAAGCAUUUACCAAGGAUGUUUUCA